UUGUCAUCGUGGGUCACACUGAGUCCUUACUGGUUCUCACUGUGAUGAGUGAUGAGUGCUUUGUGAUAGAAGCAGGCAGGUUUGGUGUAUGGCCCCUGGAUGCUCUGGAUCUCAGGAAGCCUGACUUUGGUGACCUCUGACAUUGCUCUUGGAGAGAGGUGCCUGUUUUCCAUCACCAGGAGGGUGGAUACUGGAUGCCCUUUGGCGUCUGUUGGCACCAUGUGGGGCUGUUCUUUGUGAUGCUAGGCAAAGUCAUUGUUGCCUUUCCACUACCUGGCAGGGAUGAAGAUCCCAGCUCCUUGUUGUCUUCUCAAAUCAGUAGGCAGUAAGAAAGGGGACGGUGACAAGGAGGAUGCUUUGAGGAGCAAGGAGACAGAAGAGACAGCAGUGAAUGCCACCAAACGCCAACCACAGUAGAGUUGUCACAGUGGAGAGGCGGUUUCCAGAAAGCAUGAUGCCUCAGCACCAAGGCUGAGGGGAGACCUGAGAGACAAUAGGGUGGAGCCACCUGCCAAGCUGGGAAGGUCUUCGUGACCUAUGCCCCAGAAACUAUGGAGAAACUGAGGUACCAACAGGGUUUCCCAGAGUGCUUGAUUUCAUCUCACAUUCCACUGUCUGCCUGGGUGUGCCGCUUCCUGCUUCUUUGUCUUCUGGUUAGCUACAUGGAUGCUCCUCAUCCCCUGCUGACCACGAUGACCAGAGUCGGCUCUGACCUCAGCUCUAUGUCCCUGACAAGCUCCUGAGUUCACCUGUUGGCAUGGACCCCUCCCCUUUUUUUUUUGGUCAACGUGAUGCAAGUUAGAGUUAUCAGAGAAGAGGAACAUCAGUUGAGAAAAUGAUGUCUACAUCGGAUCGCCUAUAUGCAAGUCUCUAGGGAAUUUCCUUGGUUAUGGAUUGAUGUGGGAAGGUCCACUUGUGGGAGGUGCCUCCCCUGGGCCUGUGGUCCUGAAUGGUAUAAAAUGCAUGCCGAGUAAAAGACAGGAGCAAGCCAGUAAGCAGCGUUCUUCUACGGUUUCUGCUGUAGUUCCUGCCUCUGGUUCCUGUCUUGGCAUCCCUCAGUGGACUAGGACCCAGGAUA